rnacentral:lncRNA from 1 species
UCUUUUUAAUUUCUGGGGUCGUUACAGUUGGUAUCAGAUCCGCGUUCCUCAGACUCGUCCCUUACACAAUAAUAUUUAGAGAAAUACCAACCGAUUAAUCGUUACUCAACCCUUCCUUGUGAAAUACAGGUGCAGAGAGAUGAGGAGAGGAAGACCCCCACUAAACUGAGCAGCCUGGGAUGAUUCGCUUCAGGAAGAUGUGGAC